UUUCACUUGACAGUUGGCUGGUAGGCGUAUCAGUACGAUUAGUGGUUCGCCGGUUAUCCAUUUCAGUUCAUCUGUUUCAACGUAGAUUUGUAAAAAAGUGACAAGAAGUAAUAAUUCACCUGAAUGUACUUCGAGUUAACGUUGUAGUCGAGUACCCUUUUAAGUUCGACGCCAUGGGUUGGUUUCAGUGACGGUCGGUCGGUGAGGCAGUUACGGUGUUUUGUACCACACCGACUCUUACUUUUCCCGUCUGUCUCCAUGUGGUCCCUACGGAUUUUAAGGAAUGAUGCUAUGAUGAAUAUUAAAGACUGGUUGUUAAAAGAAAAAAAGGCUGCUAUCACGAGAUUUCUUCAAAACUUCAAUAUCCAUUUUUUUAAUUUUCCUCCACCCCAUCGGGGGCGGUGCCCCUGAUCGGGUGGAGGCGCUCCUAAGGGCUUGCAUAGUAGGCGAGUUGGCCUACUGUGCGAGUCCUUUGAGU